CACUAGCCCCGAUCGAAGCGGCAUCCUUUCUGUUUUUGCCGCCAAAAACAGAAAGAUACAGCGAAGAGCGGGAAUCAGC
rnacentral:sRNA from 1 species